UACCAGCACCCCGAGUGGUCGGGACGUUUUAUUGGGCCUAAAGCAUCCGUAGCCGGUUCUACAAGUCUUCCGUUAAAUCCAACUGCUUAACAGGUGGGCUGCGGAAGAUACUAUAGAGCUAGGAGGCGGGAGAGGCAAGCGGUACUCGAUGGGUAGGGGUAAAAUCCGUUGAUCCAUUGAAGACCACCAGUGGCGAAGGCGGCUUGCCAGAACGCGCUCGACGGUGAGGGAUGAAAGCUGGGGGAGCAAACGGG
rnacentral:rRNA from 1 species